rfam:Pteropus alecto contig46651, whole genome shotgun sequence.
GUGCUUGCUUUGGCAUCACAUGUACUAAAAUUGGAAUGAUACAGAGAAAAUUAGCAUGGCCUCUGAACAGGGAUAACACGCAAAUUCAUGAAACAUUCCAUUUUUUU